UACGUAGGGGGCAAGCGUUGUCCGGAAUCAUUGGGCGUAAAGAGCGUGUAGGCGGCUCGGUAAGUCCGCUCUGAAAGCCCGGGGCUCAACCUCGGGAGGCGGGCGGAUACUGUCGGGCUAGAGUCCGGAAGAGGCGAGUGGAAUUCCUGGUGUAGCGGUGAAAUGCGCAGAUAUCAGGAGGAACACCAAUGGCGAAGGCAGCUCGCUGGGACGGUACUGACGCUGAGACGCGAAAGCGUGGGGAGCAAACAGG
rnacentral:rRNA from 1 species